UCUCACUAUGAUUGGAGGUCUCUAAAGGGCAUGUGCACGCUUCACUAGUCUUUCAACCACCUGUGAACUUGUGAUAGAUGAGUGAUGUCGUCUACCAAGUGGUCAGAGUCGAUGGGAGGGAUUUAAACGUCUCCGGAGGGGGUGCGCAGUCUAUUUACUUACACACCCCUUGUCAAUGUAUACGAAUGUCUUUUAAUGGGCCCAAAGCGUGUAAACCAUAAUACAACUUUCAACAACGGAUCUCCCGUCUGUAGCACAAAGGAAGCAAGCAGCGAAAUAAGAUAAGUAAUUUCAAUGGCUUAAUCCAUUGACUCUUCGAAUCUUUGAACGCACCUUGCGCCCCUUAUAUUAGAAGGGGCAUGCCUGUUUGAGUGUCAUUAAAUUCUCAAACUCACUUUGGUUUCCUCCAAUGUGAUGUUUGGAUUGUUGGGGGCUGCUGGCCUUGACAGGUCGGCUCCUCUUAAAUGCAUAAGCAGGACUUCGCAUUGCCUCUGCGCAUGAUGUGAUAAUUAUCCUCAUCAAUAGCACGCAUGAAUAGAGUCCAGCUCUCUAAUCGUCCGCAAGGACAAUGUGANCAAUUUUGCACAUGACCUCAAAUAAGGUAGGACUACCCGCUGAACUUAGGCAUA
rnacentral:rRNA from 1 species